AUCAGUCCGUAAAAAGUUUGUUUCAAUAUUCAAUGCUUCAAAUAAAUGUAUAGUUUGAUUUGUCACUAAAUCUGAUAACUUCUUCUCAGCCAAUUCUACUGCUCGUAUUUUUAAUUUUUUUGCUUUACCUUCAUCACUCCCUAAAUUUGAUAAAGCUGAUAUCAUGCUCAAUUUAUUUGCAUAUGAAACAUUGUUAUCAAAGAAUGAUAGACCUACUAAUGUGGAGCUCAAGUACCAUAAAUGACGAGAAAAACAUUCUAAAAAUAGC